GACGAACGCUGGCGGCGUGCCUAAUACAUGCAAGUAGAACGCUGAAGGAGGAGCUUGCUUCUCUGGAUGAGUUGCGAACGGGUGAGUAACGCGUAGGUAACCUGCCUGGUAGCGGGGGAUAACUAUUGGAAACGAUAGCUAAUACCGCAUAAUAGUAGAUGUUGCAUGACAUUUGCUUAAAAGGUGCAAUUGCAUCACUACCAGAUGGACCUGCGUUGUAUUAGCUAGUUGGUGGGGUAACGGCUCACCAAGGCGACGAUACAUAGCCGACCUGAGAAGGUGAUCGGCCACACUGGGACUGAGACACGGCCCAGACUCCUACGGGAGGCAGCAGUAGGGAAUCUUCGGCAAUGGACGGAAGUCUGACCGAGCAACGCCGCGUGAGUGAAGAAGGUUUUCGGAUCGUAAAGCUCUGUUGUAAGAGAAGAACGAGUGUGAGAGUGGAAAGUUCACACUGUGACGGUAUCUUACCAGAAAGGGACGGCUAACUACGUG
rnacentral:rRNA from 1 species